rnacentral:rRNA from 1 species
ACGAACGCUGGCGGCGUGCUUAACACCUGCAAGUCGAACGGGCCUUGUCCCCUUUUUUUUGGGGGUGGGGUUAGUGGCGAACGGGUGAGUAACACGUGAGUAACCUGCCCCUCACUUCUGGAUAACCGCUUGAAAGGGUGGCUAAUACGGGGUGUUCUGGCCUGCUCGCAUGGGUGGGUUUGGAAAGAUUCGACCGGUUUUGGUUGUUUUGGUGGGGGAUGGGCUCGCGGCCUAUCAGCUUGUUGGUGGGGUGAUGGCCUGCCAAGGCUUUGACGGGUAGCCGGCCUGGGAGGGUGGGCGGUCACACUGGGACUGAGACACGGCCCAGACUCCUACGGGAGGCAGCAGUGGGGAAUAUUGCACAAUGGGCGCAAGCCUGAUGCAGCGACGCCGCGUGAGGGAUGGAGGCCUUCGGGUUGUGAACCUCUUUCGCCAGUGAAGAAGGUCCUGCUCUUUGUGGUGGGGUUGACGGUAGCUGGGUUAAUGAAGCGCCGGCUAACUACGUG